UUUCUACGUAGAUAUUCAGCAAGAAGGCGAGAGCAACCAAGCUGGUCAAGGCCUAGGUCUAUUCCAUUGGCCCAUCUCCAGCAUCUACAAUUUGUUAGGAAUCAAGAAAAUAUAUGAGAUGAAGGUGCAGCAUGCAAAAGCAGCUGAAAUUCUAAACUUAGUUUGUGAGAAUCUGAGACAUUUGAAUAAAGCAAAGA